AGCGAGGAGCAGCGGUGUCUUCGGUUCGCGAGUCUCCUCUCCCUUCCCCAUCAUCCUCGGCGCGUUUCUCUCUCUCUCCUCUCCCCUCUUUCGGCGGCCCCGAAACGCAAACCGACCAACGGCGACCAGCUCACCCCCUGACACCGCGCCGCCCCACGCGAAAUCCCCGCCUUGCCCCUGCCGCGUGCCGCCCCGGCCUGCUCCCCGGGGUAGGGGCAACGCGGUAAUUUCCCACCCCCGCGCCAGCCACCGUAUUCCGUCCGGUCUCCGGCUGUCGCCUGUCGCCGCGCUCUGCUUUGCCUGUGCCUGGCUGGCUGUCAUUAUCCCACCCGCCCUCCGAAACCCGAAAGUAAUCGCCGGUUACCCGGUCAAACGCAAUCCAACGGCGGCACGUCUCCGAUCCGAAUCCGGUCACCCACGACACACGAGAGCGAGCGAGAUAUGCCAUGCCGAUGCCGCCCCCCCCUCGCCGGUCACGCGUCACGUGCCGCGUGCGUGACGGACGGAACCCGGACCCCUCGCGGCCGGCGACCCCACCUCCCCCCUUCCCUCGCCGUGUCCUUUUAUUCCAACCCCGAACCCCCCACCGCUCACAUAGCCCACCGUCACGCGCGACUUCCCCGAGGCUCGCUCGGUCCUCUUCUCUCGGCGGGCGGGCUAGCUAGGGUUAGGGUUUGCUCCUGCGAGAUCUGGUUCCGAUGGAGGUGAGGGAGAUGGCUGCGGCUGCUGCUGCGGCGGCGGCGGGAGGAGGGGGAGGAGGAGGAGGGGGAGGGUUUGGGAGGCUGCCGCCGCCCAACCCUAACCUGCCCUACCGGGAGGACUGCUGGAGCGAGGGCGAGACGGCGGCGCUGGUGGACGCGUGGGGCAGCCGCUACGUGGAGCUCAACCGCGGCAACCUGCGCCAGAAGCAGUGGCAGGAGGUGGCCAACGCCGUCAACUCGCGCCGCGGGGCCGCCGCGCGCCGCCGCCCGCCGCGCACCGACGUGCAGUGCAAGAACCGCGUCGACACCCUCAAGAAGAAGUACAAGGCCGAGCGCGUCCGCGGCGCGCCGUCGGGCUGGAGCUUCUUCGACGAGCUCGACCGACUCGUCGGCCCCACCCUCAACUCCGCCGCCAACAAGCGGCCCUCGCCGGCGAUGGCCCCGCACCUCGCCCUGCCCGUCCAUCCUUCUUCUACCGCCGCGAGGAAGUACCCGUCGCCUUCUUCCUCGCCGUCCCCGCCCCCGCCCAUGGCUCUGCCCCUCCCCAGCUACCGCCGCGGGGCGCUGCUCCCUGCCGCUGCGUUCAUCCAGCAGGAAGCCGCUGCCGCCGCUGCAGCGGUGUCUGAUUCGGAGGACUCUGGUGAUCAUCCUGGUGGUAACAACAACAACAACCACCAUGACAACUUGCGGAGGUCACCGUCGCGUUCUGUCUCGUCGGCGCGCUCCGGCGGUAGCAACAAGCGUCCCUUUCGUCGCGAGGCUGGCGGUGAUGGGGAUAGUGGUGUCAGCGAGCUGGCGAGGGCAAUUGAGGCUUUUGCAGAGAUGUAUGAGCGCGUGGAGAGUGCGAAACAAAAGCAUUCGCUAGAGAUGGAACGCGAGCGAAUUGACUUCCUGAAGCAGCUGGAGGUGAAGCGCAUGGAGAACUUCGUCGAUGCGCACGUGAAGCUCGCAAGGGUGAAGCGCACGAAGAAGAGCGGAGGGGCUGCAUCCAAUGGUGCUGGUGGAGUGGAGCUGAUUUCAUCCGUUGCUGCGCUGCCUUUCCUUUCCAACUCCAAUUACCUCUGAUGCGGACGAGGGUUUUAGGUUGUGGAAUAAAGGUACUUUCAGUUUGUUUGGGGAAGUGCUGAUUUCCUGACAAUGCAAUUCAAUAAGCCUUUCCUUCAUAUGGGUGUAAACAAGCUUGGAUUAUCAUUUGAAGAUGAUCAGUUAAUGACAUGGCGUUGCUCUUGCUCUCCAAUGAUGGCGUGCUCCACCUGCCCCCACCAUCCUUGGGAUAUUCUGAAGCGAAAGCUCGUGUUCUUAGGUGCAUUGUAGUUUUUAGUCUGGUAAUAAUUAAUUCUGAAGAGUAUGAAAGGUCAAAGACUAAAAAUUGUUAGUGUAAAUCCAUGUUGACAUUGAGUCGUUGAGGUAUGUUCGUGCAAUUCAUCUAUUAUUUUGUUGACAAUGUAGGCAUGCAACUCUGACCUUCUGUUUUAUUAGAAAAAAUAUGUCAAACUGUUCCCUGUUCUUCCUAUUGUCUGGAUUCAUGUGCAUCUGGAUUUCCUUGUGAUCAUGUGCAGAUUUAA